AGCCCAAAACCGUUUAUUUCCUUUGCAAAUUUUAUUUGAAAAUUAGUAUAUUUUUGAGUUAUUAAAAUAUAUAUAUCUAUGAGUCGAGUUGUGAUGAAUCUAGUCGCGCCCCUAGUUAGAUAGUUAAUUUUAAGUUACAAAUUUUAAUUUUAGUAAAUAGUAAAUUUAUUUCUCAAAGAAUAGGCCAUGUAUAUACAUAAUCGUAUAAUUUCCUAUAUUGGGCCUUAAUUCUUAUAUAACUACUUACCAUUAUUGGGCCUGAAUAAAUUUCUCUAUAUUGGGCCUCAAUUACUUUUGUUGGGCUAAAGUAUUAUGAGCCCAUCUCAUUUUAGAAAAAAAUCAUUAGCAUUUAUAUUUCUUCUUUACUUACUGUUUUGAAAUUUCUACCGUUUCUAAUUGAAACAAUAGCUACGUGUUUUCUCCCUAGCCACAAUUCCAUUUUUCAUCUUCAGCCACUUAAUUUCUUUUUUUCCUUUUUCAGCCACAUGAUUUUACUUAAAAAUCUUCAGCCACAAAUUUAAUUUCGUGCAGCCCAAGAAUUGAGUACUAUUUAAACACAAAUCACCCGAAUUUGUAUACCAGCAAUUUACUCUUCAUCUGUUCACUUCACCAUAUAAACUCAAUCUGCCAUUUCUCACUGCACAUCAUCAUUCGGUAAUUUUAAUAUUUUCUGUAAGUUUAAAUACUCAUAUGCAAUAAUUUCUGUUUUCUUUGUAAAUUCCCAAAUUUUCAAAAGAAUCAAAAGCCCUACAAUCGAAGAAUAACAUUUUCACUAAUUUACAACAAAUUUAAAAUAGAGAAGAAAUAGAAGAGGUGGAAAGAGGAAUAGGGACAGAGAAGAGAGGAGUCGGCGCCGUGCGCUGCAUGCGCCACGGUGGCCGGCGGAGAGAAGCCGGGGUGACGGCUGGCGAUGAAGAAGAAGUACAGCAGCAGCAGCAGCGCCGGAUCUGGGACGGAGGGAGGCGGCCUGAUCAACCGCUACUCUCUGUCGCGGAACGGCGAGGGUGGCCGCGCUGUCGGCUGGAGAGAGAGAGAAAGGUGAGGGCGGUGUUGGGCAGGAGCAGGCGACGGCUGGCGGAGGAUAAGGCCGGAGGAGGAGUCAGCCACGGCUUGGAGCGGCGAGGAGAAGGGCAGAAAGGGGGAGAGAAGUCGAUGGAGAGAGAGAGAGAGGUUCAGGAGAGGACAGGGGGAGGCAGAGUCGCCGGCUUCCGGCGGUGGCGUGCCGUCUGGUGGCGGCGGCAGUAGGCCGAGAAGGGAGAAGGGAAGAGCAGCUGAGAGAGGAGAGGGAGGGUGCGUGAGUUAUGUGGGUGUGUUGAGGUAUGAGAGCUAAAUUAGGGUGAAGGGGUGGAAAUGGGCUUGGGCCCUAUUUGAUUUUUAAUUUAUUGGGCUGGGCUCCCUUUAUUCAAAAUGAUUGGGCUUCAUAUUUUAAAUUUCAUUAUUGCAUUGGACCUGAUUUUAUUAAAUCCCAACUCAAAUUUUAAAGAAGCAUGCAUUUUAUUAUUUGAUUCAUUAAACCGAUGAUUAUUUUUCAAAUGAUUUUAUGAUAAUAAAUUCUUAAGAUUUAAACUACUACUAUUACUAUUAUUUUUAAAGUUUAAUUAGGCCCUUAUAUGUUAUUAUUUGAAUUUAUCUGACUAGGUGCGGCGCGACUAGGACGUUACUUUUGAUUGAAUUACUCAAAGUUUACCUUCAAGUUCAAAUUCAGGUUUUAAAGGCCGGAGGCGCGUGGAAGGUCGAAUGGCGAGUCAAAUGUUUUGUAUUUAUUUUUCCUUAAAGAUGUUAUUUUGAGUAAAAUUCUUUAAAUAAAAAUUUAUUUCACUA